CCUCAGUUACAUUGAUCAUUUCAAGUUAGCUGAAUAACAUUUAAUUUAAUGAGUAUUCCGAAGAUCAGUUUCGGCUGAACAUCAACACUUUUCUAUCUGAGCAGAAAGAGUACGUACUAAAUUAAUGAAUAUGAUUCAACCAUUUUGAGGGUAUUCUGAAUCAUUUUUCUUUUUAUGUGUCACCUGAAAUAAACUCCGGUAUUCCUUGCAGAGUUGCAUAUGAAGUUCUCUUGCUGGUUUUAGAAGUGUAAAUAACAUUGCACAGGAGGCAAGAAGAGACUACUGAGUGUCAAAUACGAACACUAAAUGAUGCAUGGUGGAAAGAAAGAAUGGGAAGAAGAGGAGGAGAGUACUGUUUGUGCCAGAAAAACAGAGAUGGCUUCCAACCCCACGAACUUCCUACAGGUUCCUAGGAUCAAAGCUUACUACUGCAAUUAAGUGACAGAGAGAAUGAAGCCCUGUACUGUGCUUUCUUCCAUGCUGUGCAUCACACUGGAAGGGACAGAGGGAAUGUGAGAGCAGCUGCCUUAGAUUCAGCAUCAACAAAUGGUCCCACAGAGUUCCUGCUGUCUGGGCAACUGAUCAAUUCACAUCCAGAUGCACGCUGCUCCAGCUCCCCUUGAUCAUCUUCAGUGUGCACUGAAUAAAUAAUUACUUCCUUCUACUCCCUAGCCCUUC
rnacentral:lncRNA from 1 species